AGAGUUUGAUCAUGGCUCAGGAUGAACGCUAGCGGCAGGCUUAACACAUGCAAGUCGAGGGGUAGGUUACUUCAGUAACUGAGACCGGCGCACGGGUGCGUAACGCGUAUACAAUCUACCUUUUACAGAGGGAUAGCCCAGAGAAAUUUGGAUUAAUACCUCAUAGUAUUUUUGAAUGGCAUCAUUUGAUUAUUAAAGUUCCAACGGUAAAAGAUGAGUACGCGUCCCAUUAGCUAGAUGGUAAGGUAACGGCUUACCAUGGCAACGAUGGGUAGGGGUCCUGAGAGGGAGAUCCCCCACACUGGUACUGAGACACGGACCAGACUCCUACGGGAGGCAGCAGUGAGGAAUAUUGGACAAUGGGCGCAAGCCUGAUCCAGCCAUGCCGCGUGCAGGAAGAAGGUCCUAUGGAUUGUAAACUGCUUUUAUACAGGAAGAAAACACACCCUCGUGAGGGUACUUGACGGUACUGUAUGAAUAAGGACCGGCUAACUCCGUGCCAGCAGCCGCGGUAAUACGGAGGGUCCAAGCGUUAUCCGGAAUCAUUGGGUUUAAAGGGUCCGUAGGCGGUUUAAUAAGUCAGUGGUGAAAGCCCAUCGCUCAACGAUGGAACGGCCAUUGAUACUGUUAAACUUGAAUUAUUAGGAAGUAACUAGAAUAUGUAGUGUAGCGGUGAAAUGCUUAGAGAUUACAUGGAAUACCAAUUGCGAAGGCAGGUUACUACUAAUAUAUUGACGCUGAUGGACGAAAGCGUGGGGAGCGAACAGGAUUAGAUACCCUGGUAGUCCACGCCGUAAACGAUGGAUACUAGCUGUUCGGAGCAAUCUGAGUGGCUAAGCGAAAGUGAUAAGUAUCCCACCUGGGGAGUACGUUCGCAAGAAUGAAACUCAAAGGAAUUGACGG
rnacentral:rRNA from 1 species